UAGAAUGUAGCUAAAUAGAUAAAGCAUCUCCCUUACACCGAGAAGACACUCGUGCAAAUCGAAUCAUUCUAA
rnacentral:tRNA from 1 species